AUGUUUGAUUUUGACACUGCCCUUUGGCUCUCAGGUGGACCUAAGGCUGCCCCCUCUGAGGAGCUCCAAGCCAACAAGGCCACACUGGUGUGUCUGAUGAGUGACUUCUACCCGGGCGCCGUCAGCGUGGCCUGGAAGGCAGACGGCAGCGCCGUCACCCAGGGCGUGGAGACCACCCAGGCCUCGAAACAGAGCAACGGCAAGUACGCGGCCAGCAGCUACCUGAGCCUGUCCCCCGCCCAGUGGAAAGCUGGCGGCAGGUUCAGCUGCCAGGUCACGCACGAAGGCAGCACCGUGGAGAAGACAGUGGCCCCUGCAGAGUGUGCUUAGGCCCCGACCCCACCGCCCUCGGGGCCUGGAGCUGCAGGGGCCAGGGGAGGGGCCUCCCCUCCCUCCCAGCUCAUCCCCCCCUGCCCUGCACCCGAUGAACCCUCAAUAAAUAUCCUCGUUGUCAAUCAGAAA